ensembl:misc_RNA Y_RNA Y RNA
GGCUGGUCCGAUGGCAGUGGGUUAUCAGAACUUAUUAACAUUAGUGUCACUAAAGUUGGUAUACCACCCCCCCCCCACUGCUAAAUUUGACUGGCUUAAA